CAGAGUUCAUGCCCUUCGGGGUAGACCUCCCACCCUUGAAUACUAUACCUUUGUUGCUUUGGCAGGCCGCUUCGGCUACCGGCUUCGGCCAGUACGUGCCUGCCAGAGAACCAAACUCUGAAAUUUAAUGUCGUCUGAGUACUAUAAUAAUAGUUA
rnacentral:misc_RNA from 1 species